rfam:Myotis davidii contig33363, whole genome shotgun sequence.
GGUGGUUCUUGAGUAAUGCCCCCUGGAAUCGGGCUCCCUCCUUUCUGGUUCCAGGUGUGUCACCCAUGAACUGCA